GACGUAGGGCGCGAGCGUUGUCCGGAUUUAUUGGGCGUAAAGAGCUCGUAGGCGGCUUGUCGCGUCGACCGUGAAAACUUGGGGCUCAACCCUAAGCCUGCGGUCGAUACGGGCAGGCUCGAGUUCGGUAGGGGAGACUGGAAUUCCUGGUGUAGCGGUGAAAUGCGCAGAUAUCAGGAGGAACACCGGUGGCGAAGGCGGGUCUCUGGGCCGAUACUGACACUGAGGAGCGAAAGCGUGGGGAGCGAACAGG
rnacentral:rRNA from 1 species